rnacentral:rRNA from 1 species
AACGAACGCUGGCGGCAUGCCUAACACAUGCAAGUCGAACGAGACCUUCGGGUCUAGUGGCGCACGGGUGCGUAACGCGUGGGAACCUGCCCUUAGGUUCGGAAUAACUCCCCGAAAGGGGUGCUAAUACCGGAUAAUGUCUUCGGACCAACGAUUUAUCGCCUUUGGAUGGGCCCGCGUUGGAUUAGCUAGUUGGUAGGGUAAAAGCCUACCAAGGCGACGAUCCAUAGCUGGUCUGAGAGGAUGAUCAGCCACACUGGGACUGAGACACGGCCCAGACUCCGACGGGAGGCAGCAGUGGGGAAUAUUGGACAAUGGGCGAAAGCCUGAUCCAGCAAUGCCGCGUGAGUGAUGAAGGCCUUAGGGUUGUAAAGCUCUUUUACCCGGGAUGAUAAUGACAGUACCGGGAGAAUAAGCUCCGGCUAACUCCGUG